rnacentral:rRNA from 1 species
CUUGAAACUUAUAAGAGGUCCAGCCUGCCCAGUGACUAAGUUCAACGGCCGCGGUAUCCUAACCGUGCGAAGGUAGCGUAAUCACUUGUUCUUUAAAUGAGGACUAGUAUGAAUGGCACCACGAGGGUUAUACUGUCUCCUUUUUCCAAUCAAUGAAACUGAUCUCCCCGUGAAGAAGCGGGGAUAGAGCUAUAAGACGAGAAGACCCUAUGGAGCUUCAAACAAUAAUAGCACUGGCCCCCAUUUUUAUAUCAAGACACAACCAUUACUCUAGCCAGCAUGACUAUUAGUUUUAGGUUGGGGUGACCGCGGAGCAAAAAUUAACCUCCACAUUGAACGGAGCUUCUCCUGAGCUAAAAGCCACAACUUUAAGCACCAAUAAAUUGACAUUAAUUGACCCAACAUGUUGAACAACGAAC